rnacentral:rRNA from 1 species
UAUUGGACAAUGGGGGAAACCCUGAUCCAGCAAUGCCGCGUGAGUGAUGAAGGCCUUAGGGUUGUAAAGCUCUUUCGGCGGGGACGAUGAUGACGGUACCCGCAGAAGAAGCCCCGGCUAACUUCGUGCCAGCAGCCGCGGUAAGACGAAGGGGGCUAGCGUUGUUCGGAAUUACUGGGCGUAAAGCGCACGUAGGCGGCCUUUCAAGUCAGAUGUGAAAGCCCCGAGCUUAACUCGGGAACUGCAUUUGAUACUGUUGGGCUAGAGACCGGGAGAGGAUAGCGGAAUUCCCAGUGUAGAGGUGAAAUUCGUAGAUAUUGGGAAGAACACCAGUGGCGAAGGCGGCUAUCUGGACCGGUACUGACGCUGAGGUGCGAAAGCGUGGGGAGCAAACAGG